AAAAGGUCAUCUUCUCGACCAAACAUAGACUGACGCAAUUUUUUUUCUUUCUCCUGGGGGCUCUUGAUCUUACCAUCAUCUUCAUCGAACAAAGGGGAGGAGAAACCUAUUGUUUUGAGCAAAAACAAGAGGGGAUGCCAUUUUUUGGCCCUUCCUUUCUUCUAGUUCGCGACACACAUAUAUCCACACACCCAAAAUCACAUACCCCCAUAGAAACAGAGAGGGAGAGAGAUGGGAAGGAUGAGAGAGACACCAAAAGAGAAGAAGUUGACUAUAGAUCGAGUUUCUGGCCACUCUUUACUGGAAAACACUUCUCUAGCUCUGAUUUAACUUUGAAAUCCAUUAAUAACUCGAUCUAAACCAUCUCCAUUGUUGAAAACCAUGAUUGAGUAGUUUAAACCAUUCUAAAAUUGUUAUGUUUUGGGGCGAUUCUGACCAUUUUGAGUUUAAUUUUGUCAUGUACGAGGUCAAUUUUGGUUUGUUCGGUUUAAUUCUGUCAGUUCGGUUUAGUUUCAGCUCGUCGGGGGUUUGUGUUGAAUACUCUCAAGUCAUUUUCAUGGAUUUUGGUAUUUGAAUCAGAAUGCGAGUUCGGGUUUUGUACUGAAUUGGUUCAUUGUUGAGGCUUUCUAUUCAGGAUUCC
rnacentral:lncRNA from 1 species